rnacentral:piRNA from 1 species
UCCUGCUGAUUGGAUGACCAGCCUUGAUG